AUCCUGCUGACGAGUCCCAAAUAGGACGAAACGCGCGUCCUGAAU
rnacentral:hammerhead_ribozyme from 1 species